AAAAACUAGCUGAGAGACACAACACAACACUGUCUUUUUUGUCUUAAAAUAACAACCAUGUCUUCUCUACUCUCUACAACUACAACUACACUUCAACAUACUCAUAAUAAAAUCUUCUUCUCUCCUCUAAAACUCACCACCUCAUUUAACAGUUCUUUCUCAGCAAACCAUUUCAACACUCAUUCUAUUAUAAGGUGCAAUGCACUUUCUGAUAUCAUCCCCAAAGACUUAUUUAAGAACACUUAUUAUUUGGAUCAGUUUCAGAGUGUGAGUGAGGACUUAACAGACAUGCAAAGGUUUGGGAUUUUGGUAUUUGUUGGGUUGACAUGGUUUUACUUAACUGCAAGACCAGGUGUUCUUUUUGGUGCCAUUGAUGCAUUCCUUUUGGCUCCAAUGCAAUUUGUUUUGGAUAGUUUAUCUGGAAGGAGAAACAUGAAAAGAAGUGAUUUCUUGAUUGGUAGUAAGAUAGGAGAAGGGUCAUUUGGUGUUGUUUAUUCUGGUGUUUUGGUUCCAAAGAAUGUGGAUGUAAAAGAGAUGAUGAUGCAGAAGAGUGGAAGAGGCAAUUUGGAUGCUAAUUCUAAGGAUAAAGUCAUUCUUAAAAAGGUAUUUUUGAGAUGAGAUGUUCAUUUAUUAUAUAUUUGCUUCCUAACCCAAUUGUUUGAUUGUUGGAAUAAUCGUGACUUUCACUUUAUUUGAACUAAAUUGGUACUAUUUUCUGAGCUUGUUUCUCUACUUGAAUCUGAUGCAACUGUUUUUACUUGGACUACAAACAUAUUUAAUCAAUUUUAAAUUAAACUUCCCAUCUUGUUUAUUUUGUUCUUGGUAAUUUACAAACUUAUGUGGUGACAUAUGGCAUGCCAUUUUUCAACUUAGUUACAUAAGAUGUAUGUAUUUUAUUCUUUUUUUAUAGUUUUUUUUAUCUUUUAUUUUAUUGUUUAUUAUAUGAAGCAACAAUAAGAGCAAAGACUAUUCACUAGAAACACACGAUUAGCUAUUUGUUCAGAAAAUCUAAAGACAUUGACCUAAUUGGCAAACGAAUACAAGAAAAGCUUAAAAUUCAAUCCAUAUUCAUCGUAACAAUAAUGUCCAUGAGUUUAUACUUUCAAGGAGCUACAUCCAUGUUUCUACUUUUAAGAAGCUACGUCAAUCGUCUUCGGCAGUUCAAGUAAUUUUUAUGUGUUGGUUUACCGGAAAUUACUUUUACUAUAUAAUCUGAAAAAAAAUUAUGCAACAUAAAUAUGCUGCAUUUUUUAAUAAAUAUUUAAGGAGUGUCCUAAAUAAUUGUUUUUUUUUAUUUUUUAUUUUUGUCAUAGAUUGUUUGAAGUUUUUGGAUGAGGUUUCAAGUGAUUUUGAACCAAUAAAAUAUGUAGAAAAACAGGGGGGAUAAAGUAAUGAGAGCAACCUAUGCUGACAUUAUUUUAUUUAUUUUUUUCAAGUUUUUAAGUACAUGAAAAACUAGCUGAGAGACACAACACAACACUGUCUUUUUUGUCUUAAAAUAACAACCAUGUCUUCUCUACUCUCUACAACUACAACUACACUUCAACAUACUCAUAAUAAAAUCUUCUUCUCUCCUCUAAAACUCACCACCUCAUUUAACAGUUCUUUCUCAGCAAACCAUUUCAACACUCAUUCUAUUAUAAGGUGCAAUGCACUUUCUGAUAUCAUCCCCAAAGACUUAUUUAAGAACACUUAUUAUUUGGAUCAGUUUCAGAGUGUGAGUGAGGACUUAAC
rnacentral:lncRNA from 1 species